AAUGAACGCUGGCGGCAGGCUUAACACAUGCAAGUCGAACGCACUCUUCGGAGUGAGUGGCAGACGGGUGAGUAACGCGUGGGAACCUACCCCUUGGUACGGGAUAGCUCCGGGAAACUGGAGAUAAUACCGUAUGUGUCCUGAGGGACAAAGAUUCAUCGCCAAGGGAUGGGCCCGCGUCGGAUUAGCUAGUUGUGGGGGUAACGGCCUACAAAGGCGACGAUCCUUAGCUGGUCUAAGAGGAUGAUCAGCCACAUUGGGACUGAGACACGGCCCAAACUCGUACGGGAGGGAGCAGUGGGGAAUAUUGGACAAGGGGCGCAAGCCUGAUCCAGCCAUGCCGCGUGAGUGAUGAAGGCCCUAGGGUUGUAAAGCUCUUUCACCGGUGACGAUAAUGACGGUAGCCGGAGAAGAAGCCCCGGCUAACUUCGUGCCAGCCGCCGCCGUAACAC
rnacentral:rRNA from 1 species